UAUUUUCUGAGAUAUUCGUUAAGCUCUUAUUUUGAACCUACACUUAAGCUUAGGGAGUCCGAUAGUUAGAUGAGGAUAUGUACUUUCUUGUGAGCCCUUUUACGGCAUUGAAGGCGAUAGAAACAUCUAUGCUGACACCCACCUAUCAGGAGAUAGGUGUCAAAAUUAGAGUACCGAUAUUUUGGAUAUAGU
rnacentral:other from 1 species